ensembl:lncRNA
AGCAAAUUAAACAAUGACCAAAACUUUGCUCAUUUCCUCCAUCGUUAUUUCAGAUUUCCAUGUCUUCAUUUUGACUUAGCAAUACGGAGGCAGUAUGUCUCUGCUGUCAAUACAGAGUGAGGGGUGGGGACAGCUCAAGGGCUGCAGGUCCUACAGGUUCUGCAUUUUUCAUGAGAGCAUUCAGGCAGCACUGCUCCAUGCAUCGUCCCAGCCACAAAUGCACAAAGAAAAAAUAAUGCUUUUGCCGCAUUGCCAAAUGGCCACCAGAGGAUUUGAUUUGUCAAUAAGCUGCACGAAUACCCAGGCCACCUCCAUCUGCUGCUGUGACAGAACACAAUUAACAGGAAAAUCCCAGUUUACAGAUGGACAAAUGAAACAGGGAGGUGUCCAAUGUGUUGCCCAGCACUGCAAGCUGCGCCAGUGGCAGAAUGAUUGUAUCCCUGCUUGA